rnacentral:tRNA from 1 species
GGCGCGUUAGUCUAGCGGUUAGGACGCCGGCCUCUCACGCCGGAAUCACGGGUUCGAUUCCCGUACGCGCUA